UUUCUAGCAACUCCUAUCUCUACCUCCGCGUGGUAGCGGCUGGAAACUACCAGCAACCUUAGGGAAAAUCGGGUAACCAACCACGGUGGGAACUUUGGUCGUAGGCUGACAGGGAAGG
rnacentral:ribozyme from 1 species